rnacentral:rRNA from 1 species
AUGAAUAUCUUAAGUUGGAACUGCCGGGGAGCGGGGAAUACCUGGACAGUUCGAGAACUCGCGACUCUUUGCCAGUCGCAUUCCCCCACUCUGGUCUUUUUAUGUGAGAUGAGGCAAAAAGAAGAAAAGCUGAGAAGACUAAGGGGUCGUUUGGGUUUGAAAAGAUUUGCUGGAGUGGAUAGUAGUGGUUUGUGUGGUGGUUUGGCACUGUUUUGGCAUGAAUCAUAUGAUGUACAAGUGCUGGACAAGAAUGAACGGUAUAUUGAUGCAUUAGUUUGA